rnacentral:rRNA from 1 species
ACCCGCACAAGCGGUGGAUGAUGUGGAUUAAUUCGAUGCAACGCGAAAACCUUACCUACCCUUGACAUGUCUGGAACCUUGGUGAGAGCCGAGGGUGCCUUCGGGAGCCAGAACACAGGUGCUGCAUGGCUGUCGUCAGCUCGUGUCGUGAGAUGUUGGGUUAAGUCCCGCAACGAGCGCAACCCUUGUCAUUAGUUGCCAUCAUUUGGUUGGGCACUCUAAUGAGACUGCCGGUGACAAACCGGAGGAAGGUGGGGAUGACGUCAAGUCCUCAUGGCCCUUAUGGGUAGGGCUUCACACGUCAUACAAUGGUCGGUACAGAGGGUUGCCAACCCGCGAGGGGGAGCUAAUCCCACAAAGCCGAUCGUAGUCCGGAUCGCAGUCUGCAACUCGACUGCGUGAAGUCGGAAUCGCUAGUAAUCGUGGAUCAGCAUGUCACGGUGAAUACGUUCCCGGGUCUU